AAUGAAGAUAUGGAAAAAAAAAAUUAUACAAAUUGGUCGUUUUAUAUAGAAUAUAGAAAUGAUUUUUUUUAAUAGGAGAGAUUAUUUAAAAUUAUUAAAAAAAAUUAUUUCUAUAUUCCAUAUAAAACGACCAAUUUGUAUUAUUUGUUUUUUCCAUAUCUUCAUU